CACGGCCUGAGGCGUUUGAUGCAAGGCGACUCCAAACACCCAAAAGCCCCCCUAGGAAAUAAUUUCAGGCCGCCGCAGCCCCUCCAUCACAGGCCCGUGAGAACAAACAUAGAUUUUAACGUUAGAAACAAAGCAGCCACGGGGAAGCAGUGUCCCAGUAUGUACAAGGACGUCUACUACAAAGCCAACAGUUGGAAGCAACAUUGAGUAGCGACGAAUUCAUAAAUAAUUAAUUUACUUCAAACGAACGAAGGGAUUGUGCCAUAUCUAAGUACAGAUUAAGUACACGAAAUCUUGAUCAUAUCCGUUAUUAGGUACGGACGAGUUUUAGGGGCGUCAUCGCAGCUUUGGCGUUAUUUUUAUCAUUUGAUCCCUACCCGCCAUCCGCUGAAAUUGGUUUGUUUGCUCGCAAUUUUUUUUGUAACUAAACCCUCACAGUUGCGUUGACUCUUGAAUUUCAAUUAUUCUUAAACACAAGGUGUCCCAACGACAGAGUAAGUUUACGCUUAACUUGUAUUAUUUUUGCAAUUAGCCAGAGUGCGGUAGAAAAGUUGGAAUGAAAUAUCUGUUUGAUUUUUGAAUUCUUAAGUAAAUUUUAAUUUUUUUAUUUUAUAAAAUAUGAACUUAAACUGGAUUUUUAUUCGGCUUUAAAGAUGAUAAUUUACAUUUUCAUGCUGUUAAUUCGAACACUUUCUCCGUAGUCGUUCAACAGACAUUUUUUUAAAUUGCUAGAGAAGGAUUAAUCCUUCUCUAGCAGGAAUAAGUUAAUAUUUGGUUUGUAAAAUAUUAAAAAAUCCUACUUAUUUUAAGUGGCACACUCCGUAUAUUGGCGCUGUGUUUUAUUCAAGAUCAGAAAAUCUUAAUAUCAAAUACAUGGAACACCUUACAUUUUAUUUUAUUUUUGUUUUCUCAAGUAAAUUUAAAUUUUUUUGGUAUGCAAAAUAUGAACGAUAAUUUUAUAGUUUUCUACUUAUUCGGAUUUAGCUAUGAAUCUUUCCAUUUUCAUGGUGUUGAUAAAUCCAAAAUUCCUCUUUUGCCUUUAGACACCAAGUUUUGAAAUGUGGCUAUGAGGAAAGAGAUCAACAUAACAUGUUCACUAACUGGGCAGCUGAAGUUCAAUUAACUUGUCCUGGUCCGAAGCAAUUAAACGACGAACUAUUUAGAUUAUCGAAAAAUGUCAGUUAUUUGAAAUGAAUCGGAAUUUAAAUAAAAACAAAUCACAAACAUCACAGUAAUUAGUUUUUCAAAAUUUCUGGCAACUUUUUUCGUUUGCAAUCUGAUUCUUGCAUCAUUCGUAAUGGGAACAAGGUUGUUAAUUCUGCUCCAAAUUCCUCAGUUCGUUCUGUGCAAGUUGCUUCUUGCGUCCUGAUGUCCCACUUUUAAAUGAUUUUCAACUGAAGAAUUCCAGUUCAGCUUCCAUUUGUUCAUGGUCGGAGCAAAUUUGUUGCACCAGAUUUUAAUUUUUUGUAACUUUUCAUCUUCAUUUGAAACACGAUCAGUGGAACAAUCAAAUUAAUUUUAUGUUUUUUAGAGCGUAUGCGAUGUUUUCCUUACCCUUGUGACCUGGAAGCAAAGUACUUUUUCGAUAACAAAACUUGGGGAAAAGAUGUACAUUUAACGAAAUUGUUCUUCUUUUGGAAAUGUCCUACUUAUUUGGCCAUAGUUUCAUAAAACUCUGGAAUUAAUAAAGCGAGAACUAUUCAUGCAUUAUUUGAGGAACGGUAGCCAAUUUAGAAGCCUAUUUGCCCUGGUUAUUGUCAUUUUAAGAGAUUUAAAAAAAUCUUUACUAUUCCAAUAUCCGCCCACAGUGUGUUUGCAUGCGAUAAUUGAAUGAAUCCGCAAUAAAACAAGAGAAAAAUAAAAGUAUACAUUGUAUACAUUGCAUCAAGGUGUGUGAUAAACGAUAAGAGUUUUUCAAGACUUUUAUCAAGCUUUUGUUGCCGUUUAGCAGACUUUCACAGAGUUGGACCGAUUUUUCCCCCUUGUUGAUUUAUUUAUUCUUGUGCGGUGAUAAACGACUAGAGGAACUAGAGAUGCGAUCAAGCUAAACGGCAAAGGUGAGUUUUAAAUUAUCGAAUUUGCAGUCAGAAACUCAGAAGAAAAUAUGUGAUGUUUUUAAGAUGAUACUCGACGAUAAACGAUAAGGAUGAGGGUAUAACUGUUUAACAGAAAACGCUUGUUUGCCAGUUUUUGCAGAUCUAAACUUAGAUAUUUCCAAAUAAGCCUUUCUUCUUGUUCGUUGUUUUGGGUUUAAUUUUGUCGAAGUUCUCGAAGGCCUUUUGCGUUCUGCAAAAUUUACUGACGAAUCAUUUACAUGUGAGUAACGACAACGAUAAGAGCGAGGUAAAGAACCGAGAUAAAAGAUAAGUACCGAAUAAAAUGAAUUAAAUGAAAACACGCAAUUUUUAAGUGUUUUGAUGAGAUCUGCUAGGUGAAUGAAUAGAUUUCGUCAUUAUUUGUGUUGUAGCGGUGUCAUGUUUGGCAAGUGCAACAAACCAGAAAAUAGACGAUAUUAUUAAAGCAUUGGAACAUUUUUUAAAUGCAUCCACCUGAAGGCUAAGUGGAGCUUAAACAGUGCAACAUGUAGUUGUUUGUUUUGCUUUAUUAUUUGCAAUUUUUUUUCUGUUCACUUUCUCAUUUCAUUAUUUUCGUCCCAAUUUGCGUUGAUUUAUUGGUCAGUAGAAGACACUUGUUGCGUGUUGUGUCUCUGCGAUGAUUCCCCGAUUUGCGACAGAUAUUACAUUGCCAUUAAAAGUGAAUGUUGAGUGAAAAUCACACACAAAUUCGAGACAUAUCAAACGCUAAUUUUAAAUAAUAUUGAGGAUGUGCGAGAUGUGUGGAAAUCCAUAGUAAAUUAGUCGAGUUGCAGGGGUCGUAAGACGCGCCAAACAAUCACGACCAAUAAGCGACUGUUCAUUUGAUUGAAAGCCGUUAAUUGGCCCAGGCAAAUUACGACCAGACACAAUCACCUCGAAAAUCUAAAAUAAAUAAUUAUCGAAUAAAAAAAAUAGUGAACUGCUUUGUGUAGCUUUAGGAUAUUUCGUUCUUCAGUUGAGGCCUAAGAUUACAAGCGCUGCAAAAAGCACACCAAUUCUCUGGACGGAUUUUGCGGAGAAAUCUGUCUGCAGAAUUUCCGGUUUCCAACUCUCUGUUACAUAUUAGGGAUAAGUACUACUUUAUGACUUACUUUAGUGAACGCAUUGUACAUUUAGAACAAAUAUAUACUAUAAAUAAAUAUACAGAAUAAGGUCACAAUUUGGGUUGUUGGGUACCGAUUCUUCCGACUGUAAAGCGCUUGUAUACAACCCCAUGUCGGUAGGAUGGAUACCUCAAGUGCAGAACUACCAUUGUUGAUUAAUUGUUGUAAAAUAUUGAAUUUAAUUUGCAAAUGUACCGAGGUAAUAAAAAAGCCAUUUAAAUA